rnacentral:rRNA from 1 species
UACGUAGGGUGCAAGCGUUAAUCGGAAUUACUGGGCGUAAAGCGUGCGCAGGCGGUGAUGUAAGACAGGGGUGAAAUCCCCGGGCUUAACCUGGGAACUGCAUUUGUGACUGCAUCGCUGGAGUGCGGCAGAGGGGGAUGGAAUUCCGCGUGUAGCAGUGAAAUGCGUAGAUAUGCGGAGGAACACCGAUGGCGAAGGCAAUCCCCUGGGCCUGUACUGACGCUCAUGCACGAAAGCGUGGGGAGCAAACAGG